GACGGACGCUGGCGGCGUGCCUAAUACAUGCAAGUAGAACGCUGAAGCUUGGUGCUUGCCCCGAGCGGAUGAGUUGCGAACGGGUGAGUAACGCGUAGGUAACCUGCCUGGUAGCGGGGGAUAACUAUUGGAAACGAUAGCUAAUACCGCAUAAGAGUAGAUGUUGCAUGACAUUUGCUUAAAAGGUGCAAUUGCAUCACUACCAGAUGGACCUGCGUUGUAUUAGCUAGUUGGUGAGGUAACGGCUCACCAAGGCAACGAUACAUAGCCGACCUGAGAGGGUGAUCGGCCACACUGGGACUGAGACACGGCCCAGACUCCUACGGGAGGCAGCAGUAGGGAAUCUUCGGCAAUGGACGGAAGUCUGACCGAGCAACGCCGCGUGAGUGAAGAAGGUUUUCGGAUCGUAAAGCUCGGUUGUAAGAGAAGAACGAGUGUGAGAGUGGAAAGUUCACACUGUGACGGUAUCUUACCAGAAAGGGACGGCUAACUACGUG
rnacentral:rRNA from 1 species